rnacentral:sRNA from 1 species
UUUUUUUUUUUCUCAACUUCUGGUGAUAAUUUAAGUUCUUAAAAAAAACUUUGACCAUCAAAAAUAUGAUAUCUUCUUAAGAUACAUUAAACUAGUCAUUCAUGAAAAUUU